UUGGACAGAGCUGCAUUCACCAACACCAAAUGUUCGUUUGUGACCUGGCCUAACAAACACUUCCUAGUUGCACAUCGUUAUCUGCCGCACUUUUACAGGGUAUUUUUGGCGCAUAUAAUGCAACUGUGAUAAGAAGGUUGAUUCCUCUGCUGGAUGUUGAUAACAGAGUACGGGUUUUGGUUUAGCAUUGCAUCAGUCGUUUACAAGCGUUCUUUGAAUGCUGACGGUAACUGAUUAAUUAUUGACUAGCGGGAGUGGAUUUGUGUACGAUGAAACACUUUAAACGGAUUGUUUCACUAUUGACGAACACAGUGCUGCUGGUUGGGAUUAUAUUGGCUUUACCUGUGAUAAUAGCAAUCUUGGUGUUGUUUCAAGUGCAUCGACAAAUAGUGGCGCAAUUGCUGGCGAUUAAAUAUGGCUCAUCGUUCCGCGGGCUGGUGCAAGGAUCGGAUGUGGUGUGGGCAGGGCAGGAACGAUCAUCCAAGGCAGUGGCAAGCGUGUUGCUUCUGUUUGAGAAACCUGUGCAUGUGUCAGACGACAGCGCGCAUUUGCUGGAGCUGUUUCGUGAACGAUUCAAACGUCUUCACUCAGUUGAUGCGUAUCAGAAAUUGUUCUGGCAAAGGCGCAUUCAGUGGGGUUACUAUUUUUGGAUCAAACAGGGGCUUCCGCUUUGGAGCGAUCGUUACGUCAAACAGCUCGACGUGAUUCCCACCAGCAGCAGCUGCCUUUCCAAAAGACAACUCUGUGCACUAAUUGGCUCAAUCAGCAAUCGGGAUUGCAAUGGUACGAGCUGGGAGUUGCUCGUUGGAAGACAACCAUUAUGUCACGACGACAGCACUGUAAUGCUGUACCCGGUCCUUUUCAGGUACCAUCAUUCAAUCGCUGAUGGAAUUGCAAUAUUUCGAACGUUCUGCAAAGAAUUCCUCGACAGUACGGCCACGGCGGAGGAACACGUGUGGAAUCCAAAUGCGGACAAUCAGACCGCGGUGCAUGGUUUUUUCACUUGGCGUAAUGUCUUCCGUAUGGCUUACCGUGGGCCGAGAUUUUUGGCACACGAAAUAUUGCUCAAGCGGGAAUGCAAUCCGUUCUACGGUCCGGAACCAAGCAAUAAUAAAAUCGUCUGCUGGGCAGGCGACCAUGCAGGGCGACCAGCAAAUCACGCGACUCCGGCGAUAAGCGCAAUCAAGACAGUCAAGCGUUUGGUAAAUGAUUGCAGCUUUACAGACAUUUUGCUGACGGCAUUUGCCACGAGUCUUGGGGCACACUGCAGGCGGAAGCGCUUACCCGUGCCAACGACCGUCACUAUCGGGCAGAUGCGGCGGUUCCAUCGCGAGUCUGAAGUAAUUCAGCUGCGCAAUCGCUCGACGGCUGUAUUUAAAACGUUGCCAAUAGGCAGUCUGCCAUGCGGAUCGAGCACAAUCGACCAGCUCAAAUGCCAGAUAAAUGCUGUAAAAGGUCCGGACGAAGGAUUUCAGGCCAGUACAGAUGCUUUAAUUACUCACCUGAGCGUGUCGUACCUUCCAGAGCUACUGCCGGCUUCAGUUGUACGGGCAUUGUUUGCUAGAAGCAAGUUUUCGAUUGCUAUGUCCAACAUUCCUGCCUUCGCCGGCAGUGUCUCUCUGGGAAGGUACAUUCUCAGGGAGGCCACAUUCUGGGUACCCAACAUUGAGCGCAACCUGUUCGGGUUGACCUUACUGACAACGGACGGCCGCUUACAGAUAGGUGCAAUCGCUGAUAGGACAAUAAUUAAGGAUGAAGAAGAACUCGAACAAAUACUUAACGAAACAUUGCAGGAGCUAAGCAAUAUGGCGUGCAUGAUAAAAUGCAACGAAAUACCUUUUACAUGAAAAGGACCUUAUGUCUUGGUAAGGCGAAACCCCAUUUGGAUCAUGAUGUGCACGGUUCGCGCUAGCAAUAGUUGCAAUCGCCACAGACUCACGUACGUGACAGUUUCCGUAUUCGGCCAAUUUGUGUGUUCGUAGUUAAAAAGAAACCAGACACCAUUUUUUCAGUCCCCAGUUGUCUGAACGUCCCAUCUACACGUACUUACAGAGCCGUACAACACAUACCAUAAGCUUACCGGUUGUUAUUGAUCCGUACUGUACAUGGUACCACUCUCCGCUGGAAAUCAAUGUGAAAGCUUUUGGAAACAGAAUGAGAAAGAGCCC